AGGACUUCCUUUCCCGGCGUGCACCGCGGGGCUGGGUGGGACGCUGUGGCGGCGCCCCACCUGCUCUGGGAAUUAUGGGGUCAGGGUCUGGGAUCCCGGAAGCUGAAGGGGAGGGGGAAUCCGAGUCCUCCCCUCCUCCCUCCAAAGGUGGGGUCCUCCGUCCACUGACCUUCCGGCCACCUUCAGACGUGCGGCCCCACCCCAGGACAAAGGAAGGCGGUGUAGGCGCUGAAAAGGGGUUGCAUGAUCCUGGAAUUUCUUGGACUUUUGUACCCUGUGGUGCAGAUUCAUUGCUUGAGGAAUUCGUUUGUCUUCUAUUGACCAGGCACUCAAAGCUGCGCGGGCCCUGCCCUCAUUCUCCGAGAGACCCAGCAACCCAGCUACUGAAGACUCUUUAGCCAAACACCCGUCACCCCCAGGUGUCAGCUCAAGAGGCCCCAUCUUCCAUCUCUCAACUCCCUCCCCUUGGGUACCCAGGGCUCUGCACCCCAGGCUCUGGGGCCAAGUUCCUUCUUUCACCCGAGGAGCCUAGACAUUUCCAGCCUCCGUGCUCUUACUUUCCCAGAGACCCACAUCUGAUCAGGGCUCCCGAGUUCUCACUCUAUCCCCUCUUACAGAGCAGGCUUCUGCUCCCAGCUUGUGGAAGGCCAAGAGUCUCCCCCUUGGUCUACAACUGGGUCUGAGCCCUCCGCGGUACCCCCUCCUCUCUCCACCCCUGCCUGGAUAUCAGGACUGUAAACUCUCUUGCCCACUGGGUCCACAGGGAGUCAGGCCUGCAGUGUUUCGGCCCCAGGAAGCUGAGCCUCCUCUUCCCUGCACCCCCUGGGGCUGAAAGAGCAGCCCCCUCCCCUGAACACAGCCAGCUGGUUCCCCAGCUUCCAGCAACCUCAGCUCCCCAGAUUCCCGAUAGUCAAGUGACCCGCCCCUUCCAAUGUUCAGCUAUCCAGCUUCAGACCUCAGAGCUCCAGGCCCUCAGGCCUGAGUAUACCAGGGGUCCUACACGCUGGGAAACCACCUUCUUUCCUGUGUCCCUCUAGAGCCUACAGCUUUUACAUCUUCCUGCUGAAAACCUUCAGGAAUUGGAUGCCGAGACUUUUGGGAACCAGGUUCCAGAUCCUUCCUCGGGUCCUAAAAUGUCUAAUAGCUCUGCUGCCACCACUAAAAAACUCAGGAGGUCUGCCUCAGCCACACGGAAAUAAAACUUCCUCCUUCUGGAGACAAGGACAUAGCAGUGCACCAUGAGGCUUCAACCCCUUGCGGGCCCAGCUGUCCUGGCACCAGACAGCUCUCCAAGAAUACAGGAGCCCGGCUCCUGAACAGCUUCUUCCUCAGAUACCCCAGUGCCCGGGACCUUCUCCCUAAGGAUCCAGGCUCCCAGGCCCUUCUCCCAGGAUCUAGGAGUUCCAGGCCCCAGGCUCCUCCUCCCCCAGACCCGUAAAAGGUGCCCCGUCCUCCUUCAGACCCCGGCCC